rnacentral:rRNA from 1 species
UACGGAGGGUGCGAGCGUUAAUCGGAAUUACUGGGCGUAAAGGGUGCGUAGGUGGUUUAAUAAGUUAGCUGUGAAAUUCCUGGGCUUAACCUGGGCAGGUCAGCUAAGACUGUUGAACUCGAGUAUGGGAGAGGGUAGUGGAAUUUCCGGUGUAGCGGUGAAAUGCGUAGAGAUCGGAAGGAACACCAGUGGCGAAGGCGGCUACCUGGCCUGAUACUGACACUGAGGCACGAAAGCGUGGGGAGCAAACAGG